AGAUAUAUGUGUGAAGGGGUCUGUGGAUACCUGAAGAGGCCAGAGACGUCCAGCCCCUUCGAGCUGAAACUACAGAUGGUUGUGAACAACUUGAUGUGGAACUUGGGUCCUGUGCAAAAGAAGCAAGCACUCUGACCCGCUGACUUGGCCUUUCUGAGCCUCCAUGGGCCCAGCCGGACCCGCACCUGCUGAGCUAUGUGUUACCUGCCACAUAAGGCCUGGAAGCCUGGGAAGUCUGAGAG
rnacentral:lncRNA from 1 species